UGUCGUGAUUGGUGGUAUGGUGAUGCUGUUGAAGCCAAAAAUUGUCAAGCCUGUACCUGUGACCAAUGUGGUUCUCAGCUGUGUGACAACGCUGUAGGACAGUGUAUGUGUAAACCAAAUGUGCAGGGCGAGGACUGCGAUAGCUGUGCACCCAACACAUAUGGAUUUGACAACUGCGAGGGUUGUCGGGACUGUAACUGUGGACUAGCCGCCACCAGCCUUCAGUGUGACCUUGUCAGUGGACAAUGCUCCUG